GCACUGCAGUGCCUUCGUUCUGCAAUUGCAAAACUCAGUAUGAAAAGGAAGGGGGGGAAAGGGCAAGAAACCUUACAGCGCAUUACAAUGCAAGGCCAUAUUUCAUGUUGGCUAAGGGACUGGUGUGUUGCAUCAGCCUGACUUUCAAUGACUCUGAUGGACUGAUUGGAGAAGACAGGGUAUUGGUUGUGGCGGGAUUGUCUAACAUCAGCUGAGGAAGUUUAGGUAGAGUGAGAACAGCAUCUACACUCCAGUUGCGGUUUCAUUCAUACCGCAAACUGGGCGGAGCCGACCAGUACUGACUGUUUUUAGGAUCCUUUCUUAUUAAAUAGGUAUUUUUAUACAUGCAUGUUACUGAAUAUUCAGGAUUUCUGUGUGUAUAGGGGUUGAGAUAACCAGCCUGGUUCAUUUUCUAUGCUGAUUUUAUUACCCACCCAACCAUCUUAGAGUGUGAAUUUGUGGUGCUUUAGUUGCGGUUUGUAACGUGUGUUUUGUGUGAUUUUUUUUUUAUUUAUUUUGACGAAUUGUGGG
ensembl:lncRNA